rnacentral:hammerhead_ribozyme from 1 species
AGCCAGCUGACGAGUCCCAAAUAGAACAAAACGCGUGUCCCAGAU